rnacentral:lncRNA from 1 species
CUUGGCAGAAAUGCACUUUGCAGUUCAAAGUAGAGGCAGAAUAUUAACACUUCCAUCAGUGUUACAACCUUUAAAAGGAAUAGUGGAAGUAGAGAUUUCUAUGAGUCACAAACGAUUCAAUUCAAAUGUAUAUAGCUGAAACAGCAAGGGAAGAACCAAAGAAUAUAGUACAUCAAUAUUUGCUUUCUAGAAUCUAGGUAUUCUAAGACCAGGGAUGAGAACAUUACAAGCCCAUGAAUAUAUACAUAUACAGGUGUAUCAAUACAAAACAAUGAAGUUACUCAUAACCUUCCAAUUACCUUGUAUUUUCUUUGGAAGAUGACAACACCUCCCCUCUGCUAGAGAACCUUUGUAUAGUGAAUGAGACGCUAAAGGCCUCUUUUCAGGUGUUGAUACCUCACUAUGCAAAUCACAAAGGGCUUCAAACUUUGACAUUUUCAAUAGGAGCUCCAGAUACGCAGGUGGAUAUGACAUCUUUUCAGCUGGUGAUUUGUCAAGCAAAUAACUUCCAGUCUCACGGUAAUUGACCGUUAACUAACAUAAACACAUGGAGCAUUUCCUGGCUUCCACACAUAGCCUAAAAGCCAUUGAUGCAGACCUUUGGAACAUCUACAUUCUAAAAAGUCUAAUAAAUAAAUGUGAUUUAUUUCAAACAGGUCUAAAAAACAUGAUAUGAGCAAAAUGUAGUCUAAUUCAGAAGAACAGAAUUGCAAACUCUGAGUUGUCCUUAUCUUACGCCCUGAUCUGGCUAUGCCAUGUGGCUGUGGACUUUAGUUGUGAUACAAACGUUGGGCUAUAUGCUUUGAUUUUUAAUACAUUCUAAGCCUGCGUGAUGUGACUCUAAUGAUUUAGAAAAAGCUGCAUGAAAGGUGUACACUUUAUCAGUCUCUCAUUCACAACUUGACAUGCACUUGAUAAUGCCACGAAUUUCCAGGUGGCAUCCCCUUUGUGUGGCUGUAAUGCCUUUUGCGGCCAGUGGCCGUUGUGCCCUUGGGCUGAAUCUAAAAAUUACUGUGCAUUUGGAAAGUAUUCAGACCCCUUGACUUUUCCCACAUUUUAUUACGUAACAGCCUUAUUCUAAAACUUAUUAUAUUGUUUUUUUUCCCCUCAUCAUUCUACACACAAUACCCCAUAACGACAAGCAAAAACAUUUUUUUCGAUUUUUUUGCCAAUCUACAGAAUUUAAAAACCUGAAAUGUCACAUAUACAUAAGUAUUCAGGCCCUUUACUCAAUAUAUUGUUGUAGCCCCUUUGGCAUUGAUUACAUCCAGGAGCCUUUUUAGGCAUGACGAUACAAAAUUGGCACACCUGUAUUUGGGGUGUUUCUCCCAUUCUGCUGUGUAGAUCCUCUCAAGCUCUGUCAGGGUGGAUGGGGCGAGUACCUGCACAGCUAUUUUCAUGUCUCUCCAGAAAAAGUUUGAUCUGGAGUCCGGGCUAUGGCUGGGCCACUCAAGGACAUUCAGAGACUUGUCCCAAAGCCACUCCUGUAUUGUCUUGGCUGUGAGCUUAGGGAUGUUGUGCUGUUGGAAGAUGAACCUUUACCCCAGUCUGAAGUCCUUAGUGCUCUACAGCAGGUUUUCAUCAAAGAUCUCUCUGUACUUUGCUAUGUUCAUCUUCCCUCAAUCCUGACUAGUGUCUCAGUCCAUGCCGUUGAAAAACAUCGCCAGAACAUGAUGCUGCCACCACCGUGCUUCACCAUAGGGAUGGUACCAGGUUUCCUCCAGAUGUGAGGCUUGGCAUUCAGGCCAAAGAGUUCAAUCUUGGUUUCAUCAGACCAGAGAAUCUUGUUUCUCAUGGUCUGAGAGUCUAGGUGUCUUUUGGCAAACUCCAAGCAGGCUGUCAUGUGCCUUUUACUGAGGAUUGGCUUCCGUCUGGCCACUCUACCAUAAAGGCCUGAUUGUUGGAGUUCUGCAGAUAUGGUUGUCCUUCUGGAAGAUUCAGUGGAACUCUGGAGCUCUAUCAGAGUGACCAUCGGGUUCUUGGUCACCUCCCUGACCAAGGACCUUCUCCCCCGAUUGCUCAGUUUGGCCGUGUGGCCAGCUCUAGGAAGAGUUUUCUUUAAGAAUGAUGGAGACCACUGUAUUCAUUGGUACCUUCAAUGCUGCAGAAAUGUUUUGGUACCAUCCCCAGAUUUGUGUCUCAAAACAAUCCUGUCUCGGAGCUCUACAGACAAUUCCUUUGACCUCUUGGCUUGGUUUUUUCUCUGACAUGCACUGUCAACUGUGGGACCUUAUAUAGACAGGUGUGUGUGCUUUUCCAAAUAAUGUCCAAUCAAUUGAAUUUACCACAGGUGGACUCUAAUCAAGUUGUAGAAACAUCUCAAGGAUCAUCAAUGGAAACCGGAUGCACCUGAGCUCAAUUUCGAGUCUCAUAGCAAAGGAUAUUUUUGUAAAUAAGGACCUGAGCCCUAGGACGAUGCCUCAGGACUACCUGGCAUGAUGACUCCUUGUUGUCCCCAGUUCACCUGGCCGUGCUGCUGCUCCUGUUUCAACUGUUCUGCCUGCGGCUAUGGAACCCUGACCUAUUCACUGUGAUUACUAUUAUUUGACCAUGCUGGUCAUUUAUGAACAUUUGAACAUCUUGGCCAUGUUCUGUUAUAAUCUCCACCCGGCACCGCCAGAAGAGGACUGGCCACCCCUCAUAGCCUGGUACCUCUCUAGGUUUCUUCCUAGGUUUUGGACUUUCUAGGGAGUUUUUCCUAGUGUCGUGUCUUUGGCAUCAUUAAAAACGGAAGACCUGUU